UCCGCGCAAGGGAUAGUAGUGGCAUCCUUUUUUGCUUUUGAAGACUUCUCAACUCUGCUCGAAGUGACCAGCAAAAAAGAUAUAACGAAUAGCCCGACCCUUG
rnacentral:sRNA from 2 species